rnacentral:misc_RNA from 1 species
ACGACACAAGCAGAGUCUCUUGUUUUCUUAAGGCCCUUCAACUUACUACUACUUUUCUCUUUAUCUGUCACCAGAGGAGCCAAUUGAGAAAGAUGAUUCACCGUGAAAUACAUACACGAAGGAUCCAACUCUGGGAUAUCAAAUUCAUUGGAUCUCUCAUCUUCAACCACUUGCCACACCCGCACAAUCUUAUCUUCACCAGCACUAGCUAGGUACUGU